rnacentral:lncRNA from 1 species
CUCCCGGCCACUAUUGCAGCACCUGGAGUACAGAGGAGCCUUUUAUGUGGAGCUGCAAAACAUCCACUCGCCUGGAUUGGUAGGGCUUGUGUGUUGGAAGCCAAGCUAAACAGAGUGUGGGAUUUUGUUUCUCAUGGAUGGCUACAGGAAAAGCCCUGAUUAAUUACCAGUUAGUCUAAUGYGAGAUGAAAGACGAGGACUCCAUGUAGUAAGGGCUCAAGGGCAGGAAGCAGACAUUUGCGCUCAAGUCUGAGAUCCAGCUUUUCAUCCUGAUCUCUUGCUGUGGCUAUGGCUUCAGCAUCUGUAUCUGCAGAAACUUCAGGAGCCCCUUCCAAUCAGUUAGCAGAAGUUGCCCGACGCUGGAGACCGGGGCUCUGCCCUGCUUCCUUCAAGCCUGGAAGGUGAUCCCGUGUGUGCAGGAUCACGGCGUGGUGAUGGCCAGGGCUCAGCAGCACGAACAGGGUUGCUCGAUGGUUAGGAGCUCGCUCAGCUGGUUGCCUGCCUGCUGGAUAGACCCGCCAUGGCGCUAG